GUAGUCGUGGGCGAGUGGUUAAGGCGACAGACUUGAAAUCUGUUGGGAUAUUCCCGCGCAGGUUCAAAUCCUGCCGACUACG
rnacentral:tRNA from 1 species